rnacentral:tRNA from 1 species
GGGUAUAGCUCAGUAGUAGAGUGCCUGCUUAGCAUGCACGAGGUCCUGGGUUCAAUCCCCUGUACUUCCA